rnacentral:lncRNA from 1 species
UUGCACUAUGUUACCCAAAGAGAGGAUCAAAACUGCACUAAAACACAACACAAAGAAAGCAAAUUUUAAUCAGUUGAACGACAAGAUAAUCGAUAAAAAACUAAAGAAAGUUUAAACGGUAAGUAUAAAAAAAAACCACGCACCUGGGAUGCAAGAGAGAAAAAGGAGAGGAUGAAGACAAUGACGUUAUGAGAAACGACAAUGCAAUGCCGCAAGAGAUAAAAAGUAGAGGUGCGUAAGCGAGUAAAAGAAGAGAAGUAGAGAAAAAGGAGAAGAGAUGAAGACGCGAUCAGAAACUGAAUGGCGAGAAGAGUCUGCGGUCUAUUUAAAAUGAAAUGGGGCGUCGGUUGCUCCAGAAACCGACGUCUAUAGACGUCGGUGUUUCAGGGGAUCCGACGUCUAUUCUACGUCAAGAAGCUGAAAAGAUUGACAUUUGAUUU